rnacentral:rRNA from 1 species
UGGGGAAUUUUGGACAAUGGGCGCAAGCCUGAUCCAGCCAUGCCGCGUGCAGGAAGAAGGCCUUCGGGUUGUAAACUGCUUUUGUCAGGGAAGAAAUCCUUUGGGUUAAUACCUCGAAGGGAUGACGGUACCUGAAGAAUAAGCACCGGCUAACUACGUGCCAGCAGCCGCGGUAAUACGUAGGGUGCGAGCGUUAAUCGGAAUUACUGGGCGUAAAGCGUGCGCAGGCGGCUUUGCAAGACAGAUGUGAAAUCCCCGGGCUCAACCUGGGAACUGCAUUUGUGACUGCAAGGCUAGAGUGCGGCAGAGGGAGAUGGAAUUCCGCGUGUAGCAGUGAAAUGCGUAGAUAUGCGGAGGAACACCGAUGGCGAAGGCAAUCUCCUGGGCCUGCACUGACGCUCAUGCACGAAAGCGUGGGGAGCAAAACAGGAUUAGAUACCCUGGUAGUCCACGCCCUAAAANGAUGUCAACUGGUUGUUGGACGGCUUGCUGUUCAGUAACGAAGCUAACGCGUGAAAGUUGACCGCCUGGGGAGUACGGCCGCAAGGUUG